GAUGAACGCUGGCGGCGUGCCUAAUACAUGCAAGUAGAACGCUGAAGGAGGAGCUUGCUCUUCUGGAUGAGUUGCGAACGGGUGAGUAACGCGUAGGUAACCUGCCUGGUAGCGGGGGAUAACUAUUGGAAACGAUAGCUAAUACCGCAUGACAACAGUUAUUGCAUGAUAACUGUUUAAAAGUGGCAACUGCUCCACUACCAGAUGGACCUGCGUUGUAUUAGCUAGUUGGUGAGGUAACGGCUCACCAAGGCGACGAUACAUAGCCGACCUGAGAGGGUGAUCGGCCACACUGGGACUGAGACACGGCCCAGACUCCUACGGGAGGCAGCAGUAGGGAAUCGUCGGCAAGGGACGGAAGUCUGACCGAGCAACGCCGCGUGAGUGAAGAAGGUUUUCGGAUCGUAAAGCUCUGUUGUAAGAGAAGAACGAGUGUGAGAGUGGAAAGUACACACUGUGACGGUAUCUUACCAGAAAGGGACGGCUAACUACGUG
rnacentral:rRNA from 1 species